rnacentral:RNase_P_RNA from 1 species
CGCCUAGUGAGAGCGAUCUUAAGGAUAGUGCAACAGAAAUAAACCGCCCUUAAUAGGGUAAGGAUGGAAAGGCGAGGUAAGAGCUCACCAGCAUAUAGGUGACUAUAUGGCUAUGUAAACCCCACCUGGUGCAAGGCCAAGAUAGGAAUAAGAGAUGUUGCUCGCAUCUCCCGGUAGGUAGGCCGCUCGAGCCUAUUGGUGACAAUAGGC